rnacentral:rRNA from 1 species
UACGUAGGGUGCAAGCGUUGUCCGGAAUUAUUGGGCGUAAAGAGCUCGUAGGCGGUUUGUCGCGUCUGCUGUGAAAACCUAAGGCUCAACCUUGGGCUUGCAGUGGGUACGGGCAGACUAGAGUGCGGUAGGGGAGAUCGGAAUUCCUGGUGUAGCGGUGGAAUGCGCAGAUAUCAGGAGGAACACCGGUGGCGAAGGCGGAUCUCUGGGCCAUAACUGACGCUGAGGAGCGAAAGCAUGGGGAGCGAACAGG